CACCCUGAAUGCUCUUCAUCUUGUCUGAUCUUGGAAGCCAAGCAGGGUUG
rnacentral:rRNA from 1 species